rnacentral:lncRNA from 1 species
CUAGGACGACCCCCGCGUAGGUCCUCCUGCCCACACCCGCCCCCUCGCCAGCCCCUGCCCCAGCCCCUAGCCGUGACCCCGCCCCUAGCCGCCCCCCCGCCCCCGCCCCGCAGCCCCUCCCGUGCGCUCGGGCCCAUCCCGUCACCGCCCAUUGGACCUGGGUCCGCUCAGGGGCGCCGGCCUGGCGGCGGUUCCGAGUCGGGCGCGUGCCGGCAGGGUUCCCAUUGCCAGCGGCGCAGCCAGACUAGGGGCUGCCCUCCGCCUUCUCGCCAUGGACGCGGACGACUCCCGGGCCCCCAAGGGCUCCUUGCGGAAGUUCCUGGAGCACCUCUUCGGGGCCCGCAAGGCCAUCGGCGUGCUGACCAGCGGCGGGGAUGCUCAAGGACGCAAGGAUUGAGAACAAUGGACUUUUUGAUGUGUGUUGCAACAAACUCAUAGCCGAGGGCUGUAAAUCGGAGGGAUCACCAGGUCUGCCUACCAGCCACGAGGGAAGUGGUGAGAAGCUGUCACCCCAACUUGAGUUUCAAGAAGACUCCUUGGAAGAAGAGACCACCAAAUUGAGAAUGAAAAGGACAGCAAGUUGUAGCUAUUCUUGAGAUGGGGCAGUGGCUCCAUGCUCUGGCCCCCGACCUCAGCAGCUGUCCCAGCUCAUCACCCUGAGUGCCAGCUUUCCCAUCUCAUCUCAGGAUCUGCACUGGACGGGCACCAGGUCUUUCUUCAGCGAACAUCUAAACUCUCUCAAGUGUCUCCAGAGACUUUUACAUGUCUACAAAGAUGACCUCAUUCUGUAGCAGCAUGGAUUUAACUUGCUCUUCGAUGUCACUCCUUCACAGAGUGCACUGUUCAUCGUCACCCUAUCCAUUAGCGUCAGUCUUACUAAAAGUCAAACAUCAACGUUAGUGGUAACUCUGGAGGCCUGGCAUUGUAGCGAUAUCCCCAAGAGAAAAUUGUUUUGAACCUUUCUGGGAAAAGUUCAUGUACGUUUUAUUCAAACGCUAGUUUUUAUAAUCUCGCUACCAUGUGGCUUUCCUGAAGGAUGAAAUUUCUAAUGUCCUUCAGGUAGAGAGAGGUAAAAAGUAUUCUAGAACAUUAAUUGCCCACUCCUCUCAUCCCUUCUCAGAAACCAACUGAAUUCCAGUGAGUGUGCCUGGCAAACCCAAACACGGUUUUCUGUUCAGGAUGCUGGUCUUACCUGUGAAGGCGUUCAUGAACGUGGAGAGGGACCGGCUCAACAUUUUGAAGAAAGGGUCUCUGCAUGGGUAUUUCCGAGACCCACAAAGGAUGGUAUGCUCAAGAAUGUGAGGAACACCGGUACUGUCCAUGGGAGUGGUGCGGAACUGCACGCUAGGGAAGAAGGAACGGCACGCCAGGAAGGGGGAGGAACAAGGAACAGAAGGCCAGCGACGGGGAGAAACAGAACGCUAGGGAAGGAGAAUGACUAGAAUACAAAACGUUCAUCUUAGUGCUGUGGACACAGUUCCCAGAUGCAUCAUCACCUUGGGCUACUAGAAAUCAUUCUGACACCACAAUCCUCCAACCCAGGGUUUCCCAACUUUAAUGUAAAUCAUUGAUUCAGAAUAUAAAAUUAUAUUUUGAUGAGAUUGUAAGUCCGUGUAAGCUUUUCCUUAUUUUUCAAGAUGCUCUGUCAAUAAAAAUAUUAGUGAGAUGAUAUUUAAACCACAUAACAUACAGUCAGUGCUUUAAACCAAGCUUGUCUAACCCACAGCCUGCAGUCCGCAUGCUCAGGAUGGCUUGGAAUGCAUCCCAACACAAUCCCUACACUUUCUUAAAACAUUGAGGUCCUCUAUUUAUUUUUUUUUAGCUCGUCAACUGUCCUUAGUGUUAGUGUAUUUAGUGUGUGGCUUAAGACAGUUGUUCUUCUAAUGUGGCACAGGGAAGCCGAAAGAUUGGACAUCCUUGAUUUAAAUAAAACAUU